UACGUAGGGGGCAAGCGUUGUCCGGAUUUAUUGGGCGUAAAGAGCGUGCAGGCGGCUUUGCAAGUCCGUUGUGAAAACUCGAGGCUCAACCUCGAGACGCCGGUGGAAACUGCAAAGCUAGAGUCCGGAAGAGGAGAGUGGAAUUCCUGGUGUAGCGGUGAAAUGCGCAGAUAUCAGGAAGAACACCCGUGGCGAAGGCGGCUCUCUGGGACGGUACUGACGCUGAGACGCGAAAGCGUGGGGAGCGAACAGG
rnacentral:rRNA from 1 species